rnacentral:rRNA from 1 species
CAAUAGCGUAUAUUAAAGUUGUUGCAGUUAAAAAGCUCGUAGUUGGAUUUCGGGGCAGCCUGGCUGGUCCGCCGCAAGGCGAGUACUGGUCAGCCGCCCUUCCUCUCGAAAGCCCCGACUGCUCUUUAUUGCAGUGGUCGGGUAGUUCGGGACGUUUACUUUGAAAAAAUUAGAGUGUUCAAGGCAGGCCUACGCCUGAAUACAUUAGUAUGGAAUAAUGGAAGAGGACCUCGGUCCUAUUUUGUUGGUUUCCAGGACCGAAGUAAUGAUUAAGAGGGACAGUUGGGGGCAUUCGUAUUUAAUUGUCAGAGGUGAAAUUCUCGGAUUUAUGAAAGACGAACAACUGCGAAAGCAUUUGCCAAGGAUGUUUUCAUUAA